rnacentral:lncRNA from 1 species
AACAGGCAAAAAAUGGGAAAAAUGGCAAAAAAAAUGGGAAUAAAACCAGGAAAAAUGUGAAUAAAGGGCAGGGGAAUGGGUGACCUGGGGUUGGGGACACACCUGUGUCACCUGCGGGGCCAGGUACUGCUGCAGCCGCUGCCUGGGCACGCACCAGGACACCAGGUACCCACAACUGGGCAAAAACCCGGGGAAAAUGGGAAAAACGGGGGAAAAAUGGGAAAAACGGGGAAAAAAUGGGAAUAAAAACCCCAAAAAUGGGAAUAAACGGCAAAAAAAUGGAGAAAAAACAAGGAAAAAAUAGGAAAAAAGGCAAGAAAAUGGGAAUAAAAACUAGAAAAAUGGGGGAAAAGGGCAAAAAAAUGGGACAAAUGGGAAAAAAAUGGGAAAAAUGGCAAAAAAAAUGGGAAAAUGGCAAAAAAACGGGAAUAAAAACAAGAAAAAUGGGGGGAAAGGGAAAAAAAUGGGACAAAUGGGAAAAAAUGGGGAAAAUGGCAAUAAAAUGGGGAAAAACAGGCAAAAAAUGGGAAAAACGGCAAAAAAAUAAGAAAAAUGGCAAAAAAAUGGCAAAAAUGGCGAAAAAACGGGAAUAAAAAUAAGAAAAAUGGGGGGAAACGGGAAAAAAAUGGGAAAAACAACCAAAAAAUAGGAAAAAUGGAAAAAAAUGGGGAAAACAACCAAAAAAUAGGAAAAAUGGCAAAAAAAUGGGGAAAAACAGCCAAAAAAUGGGCAAAAUGGCAAAAAAAUGGGAAUAAAAACAAGAAAAAUGCGGGAAAGGGGAAAAAAAUGGGAAAAACAGCCAAAAAAUGGGAAAAAUUGCAAUGAAAUGGGGAAAAACAGGCAAAAAAUGGGAAAAAUGGCAAAAAAAUGGGAAUAAAAACCCCAAAAAUGGGAAUAAAGGGCAGGGGAAUGGGUGACCUGGGGUUGGGGACACACCUGUGUCACCUGCGGGGCCAGGUACUGCUGCAGCCGCUGCCUGGGCACGCACCAGGACACCAGGUGCCUGAAGUGGACGGUGUGACCACGCCCACAACAUGGCUGCCGCGUGUUCGCCGCAAAAUGGCCGCCGCAUCCACGCCGUGUUUGAUCCCGGGCUUAAAAUGGCCGUCGUGGCUCCACCCCCAAGAUGGCUGCCAUACCACACCCCCAAGAUGGCUGUCACGGCCACACCCCCAAGAUGGCUGCCAUGGCCACACCCCCAAGAUGGCUGUCAUGGCCACACCCCCAAGAUGGCUGCCAUCGCCCCACCCACCCCGAGCCCAUUUUGAACCAAAAUCCAGGUUUUUCCUACCAAAAUCUUUGGGAUUGAAU